rnacentral:rRNA from 1 species
UGGGGAAUAUUGGACAAUGGGCGAAAGCCUGAUCCAGCAAUGCCGCGUGAGUGAUGAAGGCCUUAGGGUUGUAAAGCUCUUUUACCAGGGAUGAUAAUGACAGUACCUGGAGAAUAAGCUCCGGCUAACUCCGUGCCAGCAGCCGCGGUAAUAUC